UGGGGAAUUUUGGACAAUGGGCGAAAGCCUGAUCCAGCAAUGCCGCGUGUGUGAAGAAGGCCUUCGGGUUGUAAACACUUUUGUCCGGAAAGAAAUCCUUGGCUCUAAUACAGUCGGGGGAUGACGGUACCGGAAGAAUAAGCACCGGCUAACUACGUGCCAGCAGCCGCGGUAAUACGUAGGGUGCAAGCGUUAAUCGGAAUUACUGGGCGUAAAGCGUGCGCAGGCGGUUUGCUAAGACCGAUGUGAAAUCCCCGGGCUCAACCGGGGAACUGCAUUGGUGACUGGCAGGCUAGAGUAUAGCAGAGGGGGGUAGAAUUCCACGUGUAGCAGUGAAAUGCGUAGAGAUGUGGAGGAAUACCGAUGGCGAAGGCAGCCCCCUGGGCCAAUACUGACGCUCAUGCACGAAAGCGUGGGGAGCAAAACAGGAUUAGAUACCCUGGUAGUCCACGCCCUAAAACGAUGUCAACUAGUUGUUGGGGAUUCAUUUCCUUAGUAACGUAGCUAACGCGUGAAGUUGACCGCCUGGGGAGUACGGUCGCAAGAUUAAAAACUCAAAUGAAUUGACGGGGUCAUAGCUG
rnacentral:rRNA from 1 species